GGGGGCCCCGCACAAGCGGUGGAGCAUGUGGUUUAAUUCGAUGAUACGCGAGGAACCUUACCUGGGCUCAAAUGUAUGUUGACGUAUUCUGAAAGGGAUACUUCUUCGGACAAUAUACAAGGUGCUGCAUGGUUGUCGUCAGCUCGUGCCGUGAGGUGUCGGGUUAAGUCCCAUAACGAGCGCAACCCCUAUCAUUAGUUGCCAUCAGGUCAAGCUGGGGACUCUAAUGAAACUGCCUACGCAAGUAGUGAGGAAGGUGGGGAUGACGUCAAAUCAGCACGGCCCUUACGUCCAGGGCUACACACGUGCUACAAUGGCCGGUACAAAGGGCAGCUACCUGGUGACAGGAUGCUAAUCUCAAAAGCCGGUCUCAGUUCGGAUUGCAGUCUGCAACUCGACUGCAUGAAGUUGGAAUCGCUAGUAAUCGCGGAUCAGCCAAGCCGCGGUGAAUACGUUCCCGGGCCUU
rnacentral:rRNA from 1 species